rnacentral:rRNA from 1 species
AGUGAACGCUGGCGGUAGGCCUAACACAUGCAAGUCGAACGGCAGCACAGUAAGAGCCCGCUCUUACGGGUGGCGAGUGGCGGACGGGUGAGGAAUACAUCGGAAUCUACUUUUUCGUGGGGGAUAACGUAGGGUUACUUCCGCUAAUACUGUAUACGACCUAUGGGUGAAAGCAUGAGAUUUUCGCACUUCGCGCGAAUCAUUGAGCCGAUGUCGGAUUAGCUAGUUGGAGGGGUAAAGGCCCACCAAGGCGACGAUCCGUAGCAGGUCUGAGAGGAUGAGCAGCCACACUAGAACUGAGACACGGUCCAGACUCCUACGGGAGGCAGCAGUGGGGAAUAUUAGACAAUGGGCGCAAGCCUGAUCCAGCCAUACCGCGUGGGUGAAAAAAGCCUUCGGGUUGUAAAUCCCUUUUGUUGGGAAAGAAGAGCAGCAGGUUAAUACCGCGCUGGUCUGACGGUACCCAAAGAAUAAGCACCGGCUAACUUCGUG